rnacentral:lncRNA from 1 species
GCCAGGCCACUGUGCAACAGCCUCGGAGAACAUUUUGGCCCAAAUCUACUUUUCAUAGACCCCUUUCAUUUCUAGCGGCCUCCCUAGCUGCCCGAGCUGGGUUCGAGCCUCCCAGGGCCAAGCCAACCGCCGAUGGUACGGGCCAACAUCCUUCUGUUUUCGGUUCCCUUAUUACAGGAUGUGCCGUCCUGGCAGGGCCUGGUGGGAGAUGAGGAAGAAGCGAAGAAAGCAUACUGCAUGCUUCUGAUGCAAGGAAUGCAUUUACAAGUCAGAAUCCUGACCAGUGCUCGCUACACUCUGGGCGCAUUUGCGAACUGCGUGAUCAGGAUGAUCGCAGUGGGCCAUCGUGAUGAACUGCAGAAAGGGCAUUCGAGAUUCGAGGAUAAUUCUAGCAGCUCAAAAGUGUUUUAAUCAACAGAAAGAGGAGUCCUUGAGUUCCAUUAUCAAAUAAAACUACAGCUG